GACGAACGCUGGCGGCGUGCUUAACACAUGCAAGUCGAACGGAGAGGCCCUGCUUGCAGGGUGCUCGAGUGGCGAACGGGUGAGUAACACGUGGGUGAUCUGCCCCUUACUUUGGGAUAAGCCUGGGAAACUGGGUCUAAUACUGGAUAGGACCAUGCUGUAGGUGGUGUGGUGGAAAGAUUAGUUUCGGUAAGGGAUGAGCUCGCGGCCUAUCAGCUUGUUGGUGGGGUAAUGGCCUACCAAGGCGUCGACGGGUAGCCGGCCUGAGAGGGUGGACGGCCACAUUGGGACUGAGAUACGGCGCAGACGCCUACGGGAGGCAGCAGUGGGGAAUAGUGCACAAUGGGCGCAAGCCUGAUGCAGCGACGCCGCGUGGGGGAUGACGGCCUUCGGGUUGUAAACUCCUUUCAGCCAUGACGAAGCCCUUGUGGUGACGGUAGUGGUAGAAGAAGCACCGGCUAACUACGUG
rnacentral:rRNA from 1 species